GCUCUGGUGGCCUAAGUGGUUAGAGCGUCCGCCUUACGUGCCAGAGGUCGCGGGUUCGAACCCCGGUUUUGUAAUACUAAAGACA